rnacentral:rRNA from 1 species
CCCCCCUUGGGUUGAAACCUCUUUUCACAGGAAAAUAAUGACGGUCCUGUGGAAUAAGCUUCGGCUAACUACGAUGCCACGCAGCCGCGGUAAUACGUAUGAAGCAAGCGUUAUCCGGAUUUAUUGGGCGUAAAGUGAGCGUAGGUGGUCUUUCAGUUGGAUGUGAAAUUUCCCGGCUUAACCGGGACGAGUCAUUCAAUACUGUUGGACUAGAGUACAGCAGGAGAAAACGGAAUUCCCGGUGUAGUGGUAAAAUGCGUAGAUAUCGGGAGGAACACCAGAGGCGAAGGCGGUUUUCUAGGUUGUCACUGACACUGAGGCUCGAAAGCGUGGGGAGCGAACAGAAUUAGAUACUCUGGUAGUCCACGCCUUAAACUAUGGACACUAGGUAUAGGGAGUAUCACCCUCUCUGUGCCGAAGC